rnacentral:sRNA from 1 species
GAAUCAUCGAGGAGACUGGCAAAAUUAGUAACGUCUUGAGACUGCGUCACUAGCGCCAAUCCAAUUCGUAGUUGAUUGUUCUUUGAAUUCACAUUUGAGUCCUCGGUUAAAACCUCAGUUAAAAAGCAGGAUAAAGUCGAGCUGCUUUGGUUCUCGGAACGGAAAAGCGUUUUUUUGUUGUUGUUUAGAGGCUUGGCCUUUUAUGGGGGUCUUGUGUGUUUUAGGGGACGGCAAAACAGAACAGAAAGGCGGAGAUAAAAAGAGGGGUGUUAAAAGACCACGAGAAGAUCAUGGCCGUGGAUAUUUUGAGUACAUUGAAGAGAACAAGUAUAGCAGGUAUAGGAUGCUCACCUAGUUUUACUCCUCAUCCCUUAUUCGUUCGUUGAUCGGAAAGCUGUAUCAGGAGACGAUUCUGUCUUUCAGAGCCAAAUCUCCUCAGCCACCUGUUGAAGAAGAAGAUGAACACUUCGAUGACACAGUGGUUUGUCUUGAUACUUAUAAUUGUGAUCUACAUUUUAAAAUAUCAAGAGAUCGUCUCAGUGCUUCUUCCCUUACAAUGGAGAGUUUUGCUUUUCUUUGGGCUGGAGGAAGAGCAUCCUAUGGUGUGUCAAAAGGCAAAGUGUGUUUUGAGAUGAAGGUUACAGAGAAGAUCCCAGUAAGGCAUUUAUAUACAAAAGAUAUUGACAUACAUGAAGUUCGUAUUGGCUGGUCACUAACUACAAGUGGAAUGUUACUUGGUGAAGAAGAAUUUUCUUACGGGUAUUCUCUAAAAGGAAUAAAAACAUGCAACUGUGAGACUGAAGAUUAUGGAGAAAAGUUUGAUGAAAAUGAUGUGAUUACAUGUUUUGCUAACUUUGAAAGUGAUGAAGUAGAACUCUCCUAUGCUAAGAAUGGUCAAGAUCUUGGCAUUGCCUUCAAAAUCAGUAAGGAAGUUCUUGCUGGACGGCCACUCUUCCCGCAUGUUCUCUGCCACAACUGUGCAGUUGAAUUUAAUUUUGGUCAGAAGGAAAAGCCAUAUUUUCCAAUACCUGAAGAGUAUACUUUUAUCCAGAAUGUCCCCUUAGAGGAUCGAGUUAGAGGACCAAAGGGGCCUGAAGAGAAGAAAGAUUGUGAAGUUGUGAUGAUGAUUGGCUUGCCAGGAGCUGGAAAAACUACCUGGGUUACUAAGCAUGCAGCAGAAAAUCCAGGGAAAUAUAACAUUCUUGGCACAAAUACUAUUAUGGAUAAGAUGAUGGUGGCAGGUUUUAAGAAGCAAAUGGCAGAUACUGGAAAACUGAACACACUGUUGCAGAGAGCCCCCCAGUGUCUUGGGAAAUUUAUUGAGAUUGCUGCCCGAAAGAAGCGAAAUUUUAUUCUGGAUCAGACAAAUGUGUCUGCUGCUGCCCAGAGGAGAAAAAUGUGCCUGUUUGCAGGCUUCCAGCGAAAAGCUGUUGUAGUUUGCCCAAAAGAUGAAGACUAUAAGCAAAGAACACAGAAGAAAGCAGAAGUAGAGGGGAAAGACCUACCAGAACAUGCAGUCCUCAAAAUGAAAGGAAACUUUACCCUCCCAGAGGUAGCUGAGUGCUUUGAUGAAAUAACCUAUGUUGAACUUCAGAAGGAAGAAGCCCAAAAACUCUUGGAGCAAUAUAAGGAAGAAAGCAAAAAGGCUCUUCCACCAGAAAAGAAACAGAACACUGGCUCAAAGAAAAGCAAUAAAAAUAAGAGUGGCAAGAACCAGUUUAACAGAGGUGGUGGCCAUAGAGGACGUGGAGGAUUCAAUAUGCGUGGUGGAAAUUUCAGAGGAGGAGCCCCUGGGAAUCGUGGCGGAUAUAAUAGGAGGGGCAACAUGCCACAGAGAGGUGGUGGUGGCGGAGGAAGUGGUGGAAUCGGUUAUCCAUACCCUCGUGCCCCUGUUUUUCCUGGCCGUGGUAGUUACUCAAACAGAGGGAACUACAACAGAGGUGGAAUGCCCAACAGAGGGAACUACAACCAGAACUUCAGAGGACGAGGAAACAAUCGUGGCUACAAAAAUCAAUCUCAGGGCUACAACCAGUGGCAGCAGGGUCAAUUCUGGGGUCAGAAGCCAUGGAGUCAGCAUUAUCACCAAGGAUAUUAUUGAAUACCCAAAUAAAACGAACUGAUACAUAUUUCUCCAAAACCUUCACAAGAAGUCGACUGUUUUCUUUAGUAGGCUAACUUUUUAAACAUUCCACAAGAGGAAGUGCCUGCGGGUUCCUUUUUUAGAAGCUUUGUGGGUUGAUUUUUUUUCUUUUCUUUUUUGUACAUUUUUAAUUGCAGUUUAAAAGUGAAUCGUAAGAGAACCUCAGCAUUGUGCACGAUAAGAGAAUGUGUCAGUAUUUCAGGGUUCUACAUUUUAUCUGUAAAAUGUGACUUUUUUUUUUUUUAUCACAACAGAAGUAAAAUGUUGCUUUGUACCUGGUGUCUUUUAUUAAGAAUUUACUCCCCCCAUUUCUCACAGAGAAUAACAGUCGGGAGUCAUUGUCACAAUAUAAUAGAAAUGUUAGCAACCAGAUUCAUGUAAGGACUAAGUGGUCCUCAUGAAUUGCAUUAAGACUCUGUACUGCUCAUAUUACACUCCAUCCUCUCUAGUUUGCUGGGUAGUGGAGGGGGUAAGCUAAAUCGUAGUUUCUGACAAUAACUGGGAAGGUUUUUUCUUAAAAUAACAAUGGAAUUGGUAUAAUUGGGAUUGAAAACUAAAACUUGGAACUAAGAUAGAGAAGAUGGAGUGUAUGUAGAAGGGCUGUUAAAAAUGUAAAACUUGGUUGCAUUAUUUGUGGAGGCUCAAACUUGUGAAGGUUAAAUACCAUAAUUUUUCCAUUUGUUCUGCAUUUUGAUUCUGAAAAGAAAGCUGGCUUU